rnacentral:rRNA from 1 species
GAUGAACGCUGGCGGCGUGCCUAAUACAUGCAUGUCGAGCGAACAGACGAGGAGCUUGCUCCUCUGACGUUAGCGGCGGACGGGUGAGUAACACGUGGAUAACCUACCUAUAAGACUGGGAUAACUUCGGGAAACCGGAGCUAAUACCGGAUAAUAUAUUGAACCGCGUGGUUCAAUAGUGAAAGACGGUUUUGCUGUCACUUAUAGAUGGAUCCGCGCCGCAUUAGCUAGUUGGUAAGGUAACGGCUUACCAAGGCGACGAUGCGUAGCCGACCUGAGAGGGUGAUCGGCCACACUGGAACUGAGACACGGUCCAGACUCCUACGGGAGGCAGCAGUAGGGAAUCUUCCGCAAUGGGCGAAAGCCUGACGGAGCAACGCCGCGUGAGUGAUGAAGGUCUUCGGAUCGUAAAACUCUGUUAUUAGGGAAGAACAAAUGUGUAAGUAACUAUGCACGUCUUGACGGUACCUAAUCAGAAAGCCACGGCUAACUACGUG